AGAGUACAGUCCUAUGAGCAAAAACUCAGACAUCUUUGAGCGAUAGAAGAGACAACUGGGCCGGGGGCCAGUUCAGUGCGGACCUACAUUUCAACCACCAUGAUGAAGCCAUUGUGACAAGGCACCAUCAAUCAUCAUGUCCCUUUACCAGGAGGGCCCGUGUCAUAAGCCACUAUAUAAAGGGAAUGAUGGGUGGACUGCUUUGGACAAAUGGACCUGCGGUAGGAGAGAGGGACAACAGUAGGAGCAGGCAGAUCUUGCUGUUUCAACCAAAACCUCAUGCUGACCAGAGUUGAGGAACAGAAGAAGAUGGUGAAGGCCUGCAGGUAUAGGUGUUCAGCAUGUCAUCUGAAAUAUUCCCCACAGAGGCAAAAAGAAAGGAAAUUAUCUCUGAAAAGGAAUGGGAGGACAAGAGCCUCCCUCUAAUCUUGUCCAUGCAGUAAAGAGAGAUCACACAAACCCUGGACCUACCUCUUUGAGGUGGUACUCUCAAACUCUUUGAAGUCAGCAGAAUAUGUCAAUGUUUUGGUUGAAGAAGCUGCUUGAAUCUGGGCUUUUCUGUGCCAUGUGUUCUCCCAGGGCCAGCACAAAGAAGGGCUUUUGGUGCAGGCCCAAGACCACCAUAAUCAUCAUUGAUUAUUCCUCUCCACGCCAGUGUCUCUAAAUAAACUUUCUCUUCUUUCUCUGACAAA
rnacentral:lncRNA from 1 species